rnacentral:rRNA from 1 species
UACAGAGGUCCCAAGCGUUGUUCGGAUUCACUGGGCGUAAAGGGUGCGUAGGCGGUCGGGUAAGUCUGAUGUGAAAUCUCACAGCUUAACUGUGAAACUGCAUUGAAUACUAUCCGGCUCGAGGAAUGGAGGGGAGACUGGAAUACUUGGUGUAGCAGUGAAAUGCGUAGAUAUCAAGUGGAACACCAGUGGCGAAGGCGAGUCUCUGGACAUUUCCUGACGCUGAGGCACGAAAGCCAGGGGAGCAAACGGG